ACCUAAGAGAGACCAAGAGAAUGGAUGGGGCAUCGGCGCUGCCUGUCUUCAAGGGUCUGAAGAGCCCUCAGGUGGAAACGGAGUUAGCCUUGUUCUCGGACCCGGACAGUAGAGCGGUCCAAAGGCCGAAGGGCAAAGUUUCCAACCUCUAAAGCUGCCCGGAUCGGCCCAGAGAAGCACUAGGAGGCGGGGAGACCUGGCAGCAGAAUCCCCCAUGGCAUAGGAACCACUCACUGAUGAUAGCCGCAUUGGUUGUGUCUUUCCGGAAGCGGAACUUUCGAAGUUUCUCCUUCAGCUCUGGGUCCACCUCACAGACCACCAAAGAAUCCGCCUGCACCCAGAAUGAAUGACAGUGGAGGGAGCUGGGGGGGCAGGUGGAGGGAGGGAGGUGACUGGUAACCAGUUCUACUUCCCAUUUUAACAAUCCCUGCUUGUCAUCCCAGCGCCUGGAGGGAACCCUGAAACAGGCUUUUGCCAGGGGGCUGCUUUCUCCAGCUAUUCAUUGAGGAAAAUAUGGUAAAACUGGGAAGGAACCCAGGAAUUUGACCCUGGAAGAUCUCCAGGAUCCCUAACUGAAUUCAGAAAUUCAGAAGAAGAAAGGAGAAGGGGAGAGGCAAAAGAUAGAGUCCCAAACCUUCAGGAGCCCUUCUUCCUGUUCCUGGGCCCCAGAAGUAGGAACAGGGCAAGUUAGGGGCUCAGAGAACCUUGAUCUGUCUUUCUUAGCACCCUUAUUUCUCAUACUUACUUUUAUUGCCCCCAGCCUCCCUUCAGUGUCCUUUAUUAGCUCCUGGCUUCUGUAGCCCCACUCUAUAAAUCCAUGAUGCCUUUCCUUCCUCUCUCUCCUUACUGUGUCUGUCUCCCUCCCCUGCCCCCCCCCUCAUCCUUUUACUUCUCAUUUAUUCCUAUUUUUCUAAUCCCUCAGCCCUGGAGCAUCCAGAGCAUAUUCUCUCGUCUCUCUCCCUUCUUUCUCUCCCCCCCUUGUCUGUCCUUUUUCUUUCUUUUCUCCCAUCUUUACCUUCUUUCUCCAGUGCCUGCCCUGAAUUCUAUCCAGAACUCUUAAUGCUCUCUCCUGCUUCCCUUCCACCAACCCUGUCUGCCUGUCUGACCCCCUUGACCAUCUUUGGCCUCUUCUAUUUCUCCCCAACCCGUGGCUCUGCCCCAAUUUCUGUCCCCUUAGUCCUCCAGCUCUGUCCUUCCCCCACUUCUGUUCCUUGUCUUCACACCUUUCCCUCCCCACCCAAACUCCCCCAAAUACUCUGACCAUGGUUUCCAAGGAUGUCUCCCUUGGGUUGUCCUGUCUUGUCUUCUGAGGAGAGGAGAAGGUCUGCUCAGAUACCACAUCCUGUUUAUAUCAAUCCUGGGGUAACUGUUGCCUGAGCCCCUCCUCUUCCUUUAAGCCCAGUCAUACUUCCUCUUCCCCUACUUUCUCCCCACCUUCAAACUCCUGCACUCCAGGACUCAUCUUCUGGCCCCCCAUGCCCAGCUCCUCCAGGAAGACCUCCCAGAUCCACUGACUCUUUCAGUCUCUACAUCAGUGUUCUUAUCCUGGGGACAGAGAGGGAGUCUAGGAACUUGAAUGGACAAUCACAUUUUUAUUUAAUUAUAAUUGCUUUCUUUUUACUCCAUUUCAUUUUGUGUUUAAAAACGUGGUUUUGAGCAGGGGUCCAUUGGCUUCACCAGACUAAUUGCUCCAGGGGUCCACAACACAAAAAAUGUUAAGAACCCCUAUUCUAGAUCCUCUUCAGAAACAAUUCUAGGAUUAAUAAAGGACCCUGGAUUUCAA